rnacentral:rRNA from 1 species
GAUGAACGCUGGCGGCGUGCCUAACACAUGCAAGUCGAACGGGAAUCUUCGGAUUCUAGUGGCGGACGGGUGAGUAACGCGUAAGAAUCUAACUUCAGGACGGGGACAACAGUUGGAAACGACUGCUAAUACCCGAUGUGCCGCAAGGUGAAACCUAAUUGGCCUGAAGAAGAGCUUGCGUCUGAUUAGCUAGUUGGUGGAGUAAAGGCCUACCAAGGCGACGAUCAGUAGCUGGUCUGAGAGGAUGAGCAGCCACACUGGGACUGAGACACGGCCCAGACUCCUACGGGAGGCAGCAGUGGGGAAUUUUCCGCAAUGGGCGAAAGCCUGACGGAGCAACGCCGCGUGAGGGAGGAAGGUCNUUGGAUUGUAAACCUCUUUCU